UACGUAGGGGGCAAGCGUUGUCCGGAUUUAUUGGGCGUAAAGAGCGUGUAGACGGCCAGGUAGGUCAGCUGUGAAAACUCGAGGCUCAACCUCGAGACGUCGGUUGAAACCACCUGGCUAGAGUCCGGAAGAGGAGAGUGGAAUUCCUGGUGUAGCGGUGAAAUGCGUAGAUAUCAGGAGGAACACCGGUGGUGUAGACGGCUCUCUGGACCGUAACUGACGCUGAGACACGAAAGCGUGGGUAGCAAACAGG
rnacentral:rRNA from 1 species